rnacentral:rRNA from 1 species
UAGGGAAUCUUCCGCAAUGGGCGAAAGCCUGACGGAGCAACGCCGCGUGAGUGAUGAAGGUCUUCGGAUCGUAAAACUCUGUUAUUAGGGAAGAACAAAUGUGUAAGUAACUAUGCACGUCUUGACGGUACCUAAUCAGAAAGCCACGGCUAACUACGUGCCAGCAGCCGCGGUAAUACGUAGGUGGCAAGCGUUAUCCGGAAUUAUUGGGCGUAAAGCGCGCGGAGGCGGUUUUUUAAGUCUGAUGUGAAAGCCCACGGCUCAACCGUGGAGGGUCAUUGGAAACUGGAAAACUUGAGUGCAGAAGAGGAAAGUGGAAUUCCGUGUGUAGCGGUGAAAUGCGCAGAGAUAUGGAGGAACACCAGUGGCGAAGGCGACUUUCUGGUCUGUAACUGACGCUGAUGUGCGAAAGCGUGGGGAUCAAACAGG